CAGACUAAAGCACUGUACCAGCAACCAUCGAGUCACAUUAACCUGUAUAUCUUGUGUCUCUUGUCUCCGCCGACCUGAAGGAUCAUUGUUUAUGACUGGCGAAGAGCUCAAGGCUUCAAGUAUGAUGACAAAGUUUUUGUGGAUUUUCAGCAUGGCGGCCAUCCUGGUGCAGUGCGAUGCUUAUGCUGCGAUUAGAGAAGGACCUUGCGAAGAUCCCGUUAGCGGGGAGGUUCACCAAGUGGGGGACACAUUUUACCCAGCAGGGCGUUGUGAGAGUUGGACAUGUGUCAAAGGCAACUUACAACAAAUGAUGGUCGAGAUAUAUGGGUGUGGCUUGGCUUUUAAUUCUGACCCCGGAUGCCGACCAGUUUCGAACCCUCACCUUCGGUAUCCCGACUGCUGCACGCAGUAUGUCUGUGCCUAGUUAACAGCGAGCAGGGCAGAAGACUUGGAGGGAACGACACUGUGAGGUGAAAGGAAGCUGCGUCCCUCCCCGCCCUCCUCCUGAACUACCUUCAGUCUCAGUCUUAUUUUUACGUUGAUCACCGAAAAAAUCGAUCUGUUAACCGGAGAAAAUCACGAUAAAUAAACAGUUUCAAAAUGAAA